CCUACGGGUGGCAGCAGUGGGGGAUAUUGCACAAUGGGGGGAACCCUGAUGCAGCGACGCCGCGUGAGUGAAGGAGCGUUUCGGCGCGUAAAGCCCUAUUGGCAGGGAAGAAGAGGACGGUACGUGGCCAAGAAGCCCCGGCCAAAUACGUGCCAGCAGCCGCGGUAAUACGGAGGGGGCAAGCGUUAUCCGGAUUUACUGGGGGUAAAGGGGGCGCAGACGGGAAUGCAAGCCAGGAGUGAAAGCCCGGGGCCCAACCCCGAGACUGCUCUUGGAACUGCAUGGCUGGAGUACAGGAGGGGAAGGCGGAAUUCCUAGUGUAGCGGUGAAAUGCGUAGAUAUUAGGAGGAACACCGGUGGCGAAGGCGGCCUGCUGGACUGUGACUGACGUUGAGGCCCGAAGGCGUGGGGAGCAAACAGGAUUAGAUACCCCUGUAGUC
rnacentral:rRNA from 1 species